UACGUAGGGUGCGAGCGUUAAUCGGAUUUACUGGGCGUAAAGCGUGCGCAGGCGGCCCGUUAAGACAGGUGUGAAAUCCCUGGGCUCAACCUAGGAAUUGCGCUUGUGACUGGCGGGCUCGAGUACGGUAGAGGGGGGUGGAAUUCCUGGUGUAGCAGUGAAAUGCGUAGAGAUCAGGAGGAACACCGAUGGCGAAGGCAGCCCCCUGGGCCUGUACUGACGCUGAGGAGCGAAAGCGUGGGGAGCGAACAGG
rnacentral:rRNA from 1 species